GAUGAACGCUGGCGGCGUGCUUAACACAUGCAAGUCGAACGAAGCUGCUUAAAGGAAGUCUUUGGAUGGAAUUUAGGUAGACUUAGUGGCGGACGGGUGAGUAACGCGUGGAUAACCUGCCUUAUACAGGGGGAUAACGGAGAGAAAUUUCCGCUAAGACCGCAUAAGACCACAGCACCGCAUGGUGCAGGGGGUAAAAUAUUUAUAGGUAUAAGAUGGAUCCGCGUCCGAUUAGCUAGUUGGUGAGGUAAAGGCCCACCAAGGCGACGAUCGGUAGCCGGCCUGAGAGGGUGAACGGCCACAUUGGGACUGAGACACGGCCCAAACUCCUACGGGAGGCAGCAGUGGGGAAUAUUGGACAAUGGGGGGAAACCCUGAUCCAGCGACGCCGCGUGAGUGAAGAAGUAUUUCGGUAUGUAAAGCUCUAUCAGCAGGGAAGAAAAUGACGGUACCUGACUAAGAAGCCCCGGCUAACUACGUGCCAGCAGCCGCGGGUAAUACGUAGGGGGCAAGCGUUAUCCGGAUUUACUGGGUGUAAAGGGAGCGCAGACGGGCAAUGCAAGUCUGAAGUGAAAGGCGUGGGGCUCAACCCAUGAACUGCUUUGGAAACUGUAUAGCUUGAGUGUCGGAGGGGUAAGCGGAAUUCCUAGUGUAGCGGUGAAAUGCGUAGAUAUUAGGAGGAACACCGGAGGCGAAGGCGGCUUACUGGGACGACAACUGACGUUGAGGCUCGAAGGCUGGGAGCAAACAGG
rnacentral:rRNA from 1 species